UGGGGAAUUUUGCGCAAUGGGCGAAAGCCUGACGCAGCCACGCCGCGUGGGUGAUGAAGGUCUUCGGAUCGUAAAACCCUGUCGUCAGGGACGAAGGUUGCAUAUCUAACAGGUGUGUAACUUGACGGUACCUGGAGAGGAAGCCCCGGCUAACUCUGUGCCAGCAGCCGCGGUAAUACAGAGGGGGCAAGCGUUAUUCGGAAUGAUUGGGCGUAAAGGGCGCGUAGGCGGUGCUUUAAGUGAGGUGUGUAAUCCCCGAGCUUAACUUGGGAACUGCAUCUCAGACUGAAGCGCGAGAGUACUGGAGAGGGUGGUAGAAUUCCACGUGUAGCGGUGAAAUGCGUAGAGAUGUGGAGGAAUACCGGUGGCGAAGGCGGCCGCCUGGACAGUAACUGACGCUGAGGCGCGAAAGUGUGGGUGGCAAACA
rnacentral:rRNA from 1 species